CGUGAAACCGCGCAAAGGUAAACGGGAAGAGUUGAACUGCAAGCCUGUAAGAUUCAGCUGGUACGGUUGGUUGGCUAGCUUUGUGGUCCAUAAAAAUAAUGGAUUGCCUCUCCUUGUGGGGGGUGACGGGUGUGUGCUUAAUAUGUGCAACUCGCUGCAUUGUUGGUGCUGCUGGGCCAGUGCACUUCUUUCAGGUCUUCAUCACGACCGGCGCUGCUGUCUGUCUGCUGUUGUCAAACCAGUCGAGCUCGGUCCUUGUGGCCUUGUUUUGCUGGGAUGGCAGGUAGCUUGUUGGCCUCUCGGGGCUUUCGAGUGUAAUAGCCGACUUCAGUGUGAGCUGUGCAGUGUGUCGGAGAUUGCGGUUGUGACGGGUGGCGUGRAUGCUGGCUUUAGUUGGCUUUGGGUUGUUCGCUUCGGUGGCUUCCUGGGGUUGGCUUCGGUUGGUUCUUUGCGUUGCUUUUAAUGGCCGAUAGUCUGUGAUGUAGUGGUAUGCUCUCUUCCCGACCCGUCU
rnacentral:rRNA from 1 species